CAGCUCUGCUGUGACCUAUGGCUUUUCAUUCCUAUGUGAUUGCUGUUCCAAACUCAUGUAGGGCUAAAAGCCAUGGGCUACAGUGAGGGGC
rnacentral:pre_miRNA from 1 species